CGCGGCAGCCGGCUCGCGGCCGCCUCCGCCUACAGCAGCCACGUGUCCGAGUGCUGGGUGCAGUAGCAGGACUGGAGCAGCAGCGCGUCCAGCUCCUUGUAGGGCUGCUCCCGCCAGUGAGGCAGCAGCGCCUGGUUGUUGAGGACGCGCAGGUUGGGCGUGCCGGCGCGCAGCAGGCCGUAGAGGCAGGCCCAGCGGCUCUGCAGCGCCAGCCGCGUCCUCCGGUUCAGGAUAAUGCCCCGAACCGUCUUCUUGACCCGCAGGGCGCGCAGGGCGGGCAGGUCGAGGCGGCAGAACACCAGCCCCCGGCUCUGCGACACGUCCAGGUACUCCAGGGAGCGCGACUCGAGGGCGUAGGACAGGCCCAGGUCCUUGACGGGCACCAGCACGUGGAGCACGAGCGUCUUGAGGCGAGGCAGCGCCCGGGUGAGCUCCCGCAGGACCUCGGGGCAGACGCCCUUGAAGCUCCAGAAGUACUUGAGCUCGAGGGUGUGGAGGUGCUGGAAGCGGGCGAGCGUGGCGACGGAGCGCGCCGACCAGUCGAAGGGCAGCUUGGCGCGCGCCAGCCCCGGCGCCUUCCCCAGCAGCUUCUCCAGCAGCGCCUGGAAGCGGCUCACCUGGUCCAUCUUGGCCAGGCUCACCUGGGCCAUGCUGCAGGCGCCGGGCGGGUGGGCGUCGGGCGGCUCCAGGUGGGUGAGCGUCCAGUUGAGCUCCAGCUCGCGCAGCUCCCCGCAGUGCACGCUGUCCAGGAAGCGCGAGAGGAACUCGGCCCACUUGGCCUCGUGGUCGCCCAGGUCGAAGCUGGCGCGCAGCAGGCGGGGGCUGGCGCGCCGCGAGGCCAGGUGGAAGGCGUAGCGGUGCACCCAGGCCUUCCAGCGCUCAAACUCCCCGGCGGACACCAGCGCCGCGUCCGCGCCGGGCUGCAGCGCCCCGAGCCUGGUGAAGUCGGCCACCCGCCAGAGCCGGGCCGUGCGGAUCAGGCGGCUCCAGGCGCCGCACACCAGCGCCGCCGUGCACUUCUCCACCUCCGAGAGGAAGGAGAAGACGUGCAGCUGGCAGUCCUCGGGCAGGCGGCUGAAGGGGAAGCGGGCCGGGGUGGCAGCGGGGCGGUGGCGCCGGCGGGCCGAGCGCCCGGAGCCGGGCACCGCGGGCAGGUCUCGCUGGCCGCGCUUCCUCUUGGGCGGCAUCGCAGCUGCGCCCGGCCGGGCCUCAGCGGCGCCGGGCACCUGUGGGAGACGCGAGGCCUCGUUCGGGAGCCCUCGGCGGAGCGUCGCCAGGCUUUGCCCCCCGCGAGCCCCGCGGCCCGGGGAAGGGUCACGGCCCCCCUCCGGCUCCGCCUCGCUGCCUGCAGCCACCGGAGCGGCUUGGGGCCCCCGGUAACGGGGCGGCGGGGCCAGGCCCGGCCCCUCUUCCCCCGACCCUGACCCCGCAACCGCCCUGGGGCGACGCCGCCUCAGCCCUGCUGCCCCGGCCGGGCCCCACGGCCGCAGCCGCCCCCCGAACCGGCCCNNNNNNNNNNNNNNNNNNNNNNNNNNNN
rnacentral:lncRNA from 1 species